GUUGGCCAUUUAGGACCAUCAUUCUCCUCAUUUAUGAUCAUGGGAAUGGGGUAUCCGGGCCCUCAUUGAUGGUACAGAUAAUUACAUCUUAAGAAAACACAUGGCUGGUUUAAUGAAUGUUGUGACACUCCAAUUACUAUCUAGCUCACAAACAAUUAUGAUUGGACAUUUUAAUCUUGCAGAACUUGAAAUCAUUUCAAAUAUAAAGCAGGCAAAACUUCCUUACAGCAGCAACUCAUUUUACACAUGAUAUUCUGCAACUCAUAAAGAGCGGAAGAAAAGAGCAAAGCCAAAACUAUUAAAGGGAAACAGAUAACAGAUACCAUAGGACUUGUCAAGUAAUUAGCUUUGGGUCAGUUAUCCACUCAUCUCCAAUGAUCUUGGUAGUUAAACAUUCACAUUCCCAUUUACAGGGAAGUUGGCAUUAGCAGGAGAUGAUUGUGAACCACAACUAGAUACUCCCAUAUUAUCACCAGAACAAUCACCAGUGAUAGAUACACCAUUUCCAGAAUCUAUCUGAAUUCCAUGGUAAGAAUCUCCAGAAAUCAAUGCUUGUAACAAUUUUGGUGCUGGGGGAAAGGGCACUUCCACUACCCCCUCUAGCAUCUUCACUACCAUCCCCAUUGUGGGCCUCAUGUUCUCAUUAUCCUGUAUGCACCAAAUUGCCACCAAUGCAACACGCUCCGCCUCCUCAAUUUUAUAUGCGCUGCCGAGCCUAUAAUCUACCACUGCUGCUACAUUGCCUUCAAUUAUUUGUUGUGCAGCAUAUGGUGGGAAAAACCAUUUCUCCCCCUUUUCUCCCUCUCUGCUGCCAUUGCCACCAGCUGCAGAUACUGGUGCCUCAACAUUUCGUCGGCCUCCAAGCAACUCCAAUAAUGUCAUUCCAUAGCUAUAAACAUCUGCUUUCGUGGUAAUGGCCACUCCAGAUAUCCACUCUGGCGCCACAUAGCCCCAGGUACCUCUCAUGGUGGCUAAAACUCGACUAAAGUCACGACCAACAAGCUUUGCUAGGCCAAAAUCAGAUACCUUAGGAGUGUAAUCACUAUCCAAAAGGAUGUUGUCUGGUUUGAUAUCACAGUGGAUGAUGCAAUCCCGACAUUCCUCGUGUAAAUAUGCAAUGCCUCUAGCAGUCCCAACUGCUACACGAAAUCUAACAUCCCAGCUCAAACUAGGACCACCUUGGCGUAAAUAAACACUCAAAGAACCAUUUGGCAUGUAAUCAUAAACUAAAAGUCUAUGAGAAUUCUCUGAGCAAAAUCCUCUAAGCCUCACUAGAUUGACAUGUUGAAUGUUCCCAAUCGUACACACCUCUGCCCUGAACUCUCUCUCUCCACUCCCUGGCCUUUCAAGGCGUUUCACAGCAACAGGAGUAGAAUCUAAUAACUCACCUUGAAACACUGCACCAAAUCCACCGUGCCCAAGUUUAUCUGAGAAACCCCGAGUUGCUGCAUACAGCUCCUUGUAAGAAAAUACCUUCAAAUUCAACACCAGAAAGCCCCCAUCUUCCCUUCUCCCCUUGCUCCUCCUCCUCAUCUGCAGAGUCAGCAAAAUUCCUAUUGCUAACCCAACAAGGGCAACAGACACAAGAAUGCUAACAAUCAAAAGCACAGACUUCGACUCAUCCUUCUUUACGGUUCCUUCUUUUGGCACCCUAACAAACAGAAUAUCUUGAUAUGUUCUAUCAGAGCUUAGAUUUCUCAAAUUCAAUAAAGUCCCAUAUAAGUUCUUGCAUAAAUUAGUCCUCUCGUCAUGGAGAAAACCGAUACACGAACAAUUACCCAAACAAGACCUCUCGCAAAAGCUUCUACUACCAGGAAACGACAUCGUAACGGCUCCCUCGUACUCCAUGACACCAACCUCCAUGAAGCCAUCAGUCCGGUUACAGGAAUCCCCACUCUCCCUGCGACAGCCGCCAGAAUAAUCCCCAAACUCCCAAUCGUAAUCACUAACAGGCCUAAACCCUGAAAGGCAAAAGCAAGGCUUUGGCGAUGCGGAACUGAUUUUACAAAAUCCCAAAUCUCCGCAUAACCGAUAAACUUUACACCGAUUCUCCGGCUGUGACCAGAACAUAUUCCAAUUCUCCGCCUGCACGGACCAUGUAUAUUGUUUCAAUUGCCCGUCGACAUCCACUUGAAAUCGCGUCAACGGCGGGCUCAGCGCUCUAUCUAAUGCAAUUUCCGUGUACCAAAACGACGCCGCAGGGGUAUAAGGAUUGGCAAAGUGGAACUUGUAUAUGUACGGUACUGUCAUUUCGGGUACACCGACGAAUGUCGAACCUGUCCAGUUGCCUGUGCUCCAGUAACUGACACUUGCAUUAUAUAAAAGAUCAAAUUCGUUGUGCCCUCGGCUUAGCCUGAGAGAGUAUAACCCAGGUGAUGGGUCGGCUAAGCUCCGCCAAGAGGUUAAAGAUCGCUCUUUGGUGAUGUUCAUGCCAGGCAGCCAAGUGUCUGUUGGGUAAUCGAAACUUUGCCACAAGAGUGACCGGUUGGCUGAUAGUAGGACCAGAUUUCCAUCGUUUAGAAAGCGAAAAUCCGUUGCUGGCUCAUUGUUUGCGCUCUGCCAAAUGAUAGAAUUUGGCGACUCUAUUAUCGCCAGUUUGCCAGUUUCAGUGAUUUGUAGUGUGGAAGAGGCAAGAUUGGUGACUGGUGUUUCGCGAUUUGCUACCCAGACAUAAGUUGGAGUCGGGGUUGAUGCGUACCAAAUGCCCAGAUACCAUUUUGAACCUUCAUUUGGGCUGAAAAAGCCAAGCUGAAAAGUGUGGUUUUCGCUUGAAAUUGUGAGGUUUCCGCUGAUUAUAACAUUGGUAGACUCCAAUUUGUCGCUGAUGCUCUGUCCGGUAUAGUCUGCUAGUAAAUUUAAUGGCUUUUGGGUGGUGAAAGCCAAAUUUGAGGAAAUGGGCAAUCUGUUGCUGGGACUGUGUGUAAAUCUAGAGGUGGAAAAGCUAUCAUUAGUUCGAAAUUUGGCAACAAACGAAGCAUUGGAAGCUCCUACCAGAAGGUAGAAGAAGAAAUAAAUAGAAAUCAUGACGGAAUAAGCAUUGGGUAGUGACCUUUCAACGAGUUUAAUCAGAAAUGAUUCAGUUUGAUUUGCAAAGAGGAAAAGGGUAAAAGAAUAAACAGAGCAUCUUUCAUCUAAGAGGCGACAUGACAGAAUCAGUAGAGGCUUUAGUAAAGUCCUCUGAGAUUCACUUUUCA
rnacentral:misc_RNA from 1 species